rnacentral:rRNA from 1 species
UACGUAGGGUGCGAGCGUUAAUCGGAAUUACUGGGCGUAAAGCGUGCGCAGGUGGUUUGUUAAGUCAGAUGUGAAAGCCCCGAGCUUAACUUGGGAACUGCGUUUGAGACUGGCAGGCUAGAGUCUGUCAGAGGGGGGUAGAAUUCCACGUGUAGCAGUGAAAUGCGUAGAGAUGUGGAGGAAUACCAAUGGCGAAGGCAGCCCCCUGGGAUAAGGCUGACGCUCAUGCACGAAAGCGUGGGGAGCAAACAGGAUUAGAUACCCUGGUAGUCCACGCCCUAAACGAUGUCAACUGGUUGUUGGGCAACUUGAUUGUUCAGUAACGAAGCUAAUGCGAGAAGUUGACCGCCUGGGGAGUACGGUCGCAAGAUUAAAACUCAAAGGAAUUGACGGGGACCCGCACAAGCGGUGGAUGAUGUGGAUUAAUUCGAUGCAACGCGAAAAACCUUACCUACCCUUGACAUGUACGGAAGUCUGCUGAGAGGUGGAUGUGCCUGAAAGGGAACCGUAACACAGGUGCUGCAUGGCUGUCGUCAGCUCGUGUCGUGAGAUGUUGGGUUAAGUCCCGCAACGAGCGCAACCCUUGCUAUUAAUUGCCAUCAUUAAGUUGGGCACUUUAAUAGGACUGCUGGUGAUAAACCGGAGGAAGGUGGGGAUGACGUCAAGUCCUCAUGGCCCUUAUGGGUAGGGCUUCACACGUCAUACAAUGGCCGGUACAGAGGGAUGCCAACCCGCGAGGGGGAGCCAAUCUCAGAAAGCCGGUCGUAGUCCGGAUUGUUCUCUGCAACUCGAGAGCAUGAAGUCGGAAUCGCUAGUAAUCGCGGAUCAGCAUGUCGCGGUGAAUACGUUCCCGGGUCU